GUGUGUGAAUGAUGAGAAUAUGAAAUUUACAGUUAUCCCUGUCUGAGUAAAGCAGUGCUGAUUUUUCCAAAUCUCUGACACCAAU